GAGUGAAGUGAUGCUUUACCAUCUUUCGGGACUUACCCAUUAAUGGGGAUAACAUUUUUUCCACUGAUCACUC